rnacentral:rRNA from 1 species
AGUGAACGCUGGCGGUAGGCCUAACACAUGCAAGUCGAACGGCAGCACAGGAGAGCUUGCUCUCUGGGUGGCGAGUGGCGGACGGGUGAGGAAUACAUCGGAAUCUACUCUGUCGUGGGGGAUAACGUAGGGAAACUUACGCUAAUACCGCAUACGACCUACGGGUGAAAGCAGGGGACCUUCGGGCCUUGCGCGAUUGAAUGAGCCGAUGUCGGAUGAGCUAGUUGGCGGGGUAAAGGCCCACCAAGGCGACGAUCCGUAGCUGGUCUGAGAGGAUGAUCAGCCACACUGGAACUGAGACACGGUCCAGACUCCUACGGGAGGCAGCAGGGGGGAAUAUUGGACAAGGGGCGAAAUCCUGAUCCAGACAUACCGCGUGGGUGAAGAAGGCCUUCGGGUUGUAAAGCCCUUUUGUUGGGAAAGAAAUCCAGCUGGCUAAUACCCGGUUGGGAUGACGGUACCUAAAGAAUAAGCACCGGCUAACUUCGUGCCAGCCGCCGCGGUAA